CUGUUUAUCGCACUGCUCUCAGUUGACAAGGUCGUGAAGAAUUCCUGUGUGAAGAGAAACUACAACCUCCACGUCCAAAUUCCCCAGGUUGCAGUGAAAGCACCCGGGCUUGAGAAAGCGAUAAAAGCCCAGCCUGCACAUUUUAUCUUCCCCAGAUCCUCCAAAACAUCUCUUUGAAGGCGCUUUCACUUAGGUGCAAUUCCAUUAAGGACUGCUCAAUUAUCUCAACAGCUUCUCUUAGGGCUCCCUGCCAAUGAGCCUGGGAAGGCAGCAGAAGAUGGCCCAAGUGCUAGGGUUCCUGCACCCAUGUGGAAAACCUGGAAGAAGCUUCUGUCUCCUGAUUUCAGAUCGACCCAGCCCUGGCCAUUGCGGCCAUUUGCAGACUGAACCAGUGGAUGGAAGAACUUGAUCUCUUUCUCUGUGUUGCUCUCUAUAACCCUGCAUUUCAAAUAAAUAUUCUUUUAAAAAUUAAACUAUUAAGUUGUACACAUUAA